rnacentral:rRNA from 1 species
GAGUUUGAACCUGGCUCAGGAUGAACGCUGGCGGCGUGCCUAAUACAUGCAAGUCGAACGAAACUUCUUUAUCACCGAGUGCUUGCACUCACCGAUAAAGAGUUGAGUGGCGAACGGGUGAGUAACACGUGGGCAACCUGCCCAAAAGAGGGGGAUAACACUUGGAAACAGGUGCUAAUACCGCAUAACCAUAGUUACCGCAUGGUAACUAUGUAAAAGGUGGCUAUACUACCGCUUUUGGAUGGGCCCGCGGCGCAUUAGCUAGUUGGUAGGGUAAAGGCUUACCAAGGCAAUGAUGCGUAGCCGAAUUGAGAGGUUGAUCGGCCACAUUGGGACUGAGACACGGCCCAAACUCCUACGGGAGGCAGCAGUAGGGAAUCUUCCACAAUGGGCGAAAGCCUGAUGGAGCAACGCCGCGUGGGUGAAGAAGGUCUUCGGAUCGUAAAACCCUGUUGUUAGAGAAGAAAGUGCGUGAGAGUAACUGUUCACGUUUCGACGGUAUCUAACCAGAAAGCCACGGCUAACUACGUGCCAGCAGCCGCGGUAAU